GACGAACGCUGGCGGCGUGCCUAAUACAUGCAAGUAGAACGCUGAGAACUGGUGCUUGCACCGGUUCAAGGAGUUGCGAACGGGUGAGUAACGCGUAGGUAACCUACCUCAUAGCGGGGGAUAACUAUUGGAAACGAUAGCUAAUACCGCAUAAGAGAGACUAACGCAUGUUAGUAAUUUAAAAGGGGCAAUUGCUCCACUAUGAGAUGGACCUGCGUUGUAUUAGCUAGUUGGUGAGGUAAAGGCUCACCAAGGCGACGAUACAUAGCCGACCUGAGAGGGUGAUCGGCCACACUGGGACUGAGACACGGCCCAGACUCCUACGGGAGGCAGCAGUAGGGAAUCUUCGGCAAUGGGGGCAACCCUGACCGAGCAACGCCGCGUGAGUGAAGAAGGUUUUCGGAUCGUAAAGCUCUGUUGUUAGAGAAGAAUGAUGGUGGGAGUGGAAAAUCCACCAAGUGACGGUAACUAACCAGAAAGGGACGGCUAACUACGUGCCAGCAGCCGCGGUAACACGUAGGUCCCGAGCGUUGUCCGGAUUUAUUGGGCGUAAAGCGAGCGCAGGCGGUUUUUUAAGUCUGAAGUUAAAGGCAUUGGCUCAACCAAUGUACGCUUUGGAAACUGGAGAACUUGAGUGCAGAAGGGGAGAGUGGAAUUCCAUGUGUAGCGGUGAAAUGCGUAGAUAUAUGGAGGAACACCGGUGGCGAAAGCGGCUCUCUGGUCUGUAACUGACGCUGAGGCUCGAAAACGUGGGGAGCAAACAGG
rnacentral:rRNA from 1 species